UCCCGCCCACUAUUUGACCCACGCGGGCCGCUCCCCGCCCCUGACGCCUGGGACCCGGGCCAGACCUCCCCCGACGUCCCCUCCCCGCGCCCGGCCUCCCCCCAGCCCGCCCUCCGCUGUCCGCACCCCUGUCCGCUUCGUGGACGCCCGCCCACCCAGCCCUGCCCGGGCGUCACGGAAACCCUGGAUGACGACAGGUGCCUCCUGGCUCCUGGGAUUGCGGUGGGGGGCAAAGGGUCACCCUGAGUCAGCCGGACCGAGUAGGCGCAGGGGGCGUUGCUGGGGUCCGGCAGGGGUGUCCCACUGUUGGGACUGUGCCAGAGGAGCUGCGACGCCGACCGCAGAGGUCUAGAUGCCCAGAUGCCCAGGAGCUGCCUCCCAAGAAGAGAGAUCACCUGUGCACCCCCCCCCCCAAGGGAAUGAAAAGCUGCUUCUGGAAGCAGAGGUGUUGGGGGGAGCUGCCUAGGGCCUUCCCGGAGCUACAGGUGCCCCCAGCCCGUCCCUCAGCACCCCAGCCCCUCUGAAGCUGACCGCGUCUGCCAGGGUGUCCCGCUCAGAUGCCACUGAAGAGGGCAGUCUCCCCACCCAGAGGUUUUUGCAAAAGAGCAUCCUAAAGGCAGAGGUGGGAGUGGGUGAGGGAGCUGCUGGGGGGCCUGCAGCCUGGAGGAGGAAAGGUAGGCCUCCCGCGCGAGCCUCCUGUGCCGUAAUAGAGGUCUCCUCACCCAGGGGACCCCCUCUUCCCCUGGGUUUCACGCUCUCUGUUGCUCUCCCGAAAUUAAUUUUUGAACAAGCAGACCCACAUUUUCAUCUUGCAGUGUAGCGGUCCUGAAGGUCCUGAAGGGGCGGGGGCAGGGGCUGGACCAGCAGGGAGUCAACCUGGGAGCCUUGUCUUGCCUUCAUUCACUCAUUUUUUUUUUUUUUCACUCAUUCAUUGGUGUGGCCAACACUUACUUAUCCAACGCUGAAUCAUUUGCCAGGCUCUUCUGGGUACCGGAAACUUCAGCUAUGAAGGACUAGGAGCCGGGAGCCGGCACCCUGGCAGGGACAUGCUGAACAGACAACUCACACCUGGAACGUGUGUACAUCCGUGGCCCGUCUCUCCCGCCGUAACGAACGCUCUAGAAGGACAUUGCCUAUCUCGUCCAUGGCUCUAGCUCCAGCACAUAGGACAGUGGUGACCAGCACACCCGAUGUGCUCAGUGAACACGUGUUGAAUGCGUCCCCCCCUGCAGUGAAGCCCUAACUCCCCAUCCCUGUUAAUGCGACCUUAUUUGGAAAUGAUCGGUCAAGUUGAGGUCAUCAGGGUGGGCUCUGAUCCAAUAUGACCGUGUCCUUACAAAAAAGGGGAGACUGAAGACAGACACAUAUAGAGGGAAAGGUGAUGUGAAGACACAGAAAGAGUGCCAUCUACGAACCAUGGAACCCCUGAGACCGCCAGAAAUUCAGAGGGAGGCCUGGAACAGACAUCUUGAUCUUGAACUCCUAGUCUUGAGAAUUUUGAGCCGAUAUAUCUGUGUCGUUGGUGGCCUUUGUUAGGGCAGCCCUGGGAAAGGAAGACACCCAGCUUAUUCCUUCUGUGGUCCCCUGUGGGCGUGUCCAGCUCCCCAUCCGUCCGUGCCCCACACUGUAGACUAUUGUCAACUGUCUUUCCAAUGCUGAGCGCCCUGAAGGCAAGAGAACUAUGUCUGAUUGGCUCUGCUCCCUAGCACCCAAGCUGUGUUUUUAUCCUACGUUGGAAAAUGUGUAGUGAGCCCCUCCCAAGUGUCAGGUAUAAGGCCAGGCCUGGGGACAACAAAAUGAAGCCACAGUUUGUGUCAAAUGCCAUGGGAAACUGGGAGGGAGAGAAAGACAGAGAGAGAGAGAGAGGGAGGGAGAGAGACUGCCUGGCAGAGGGCAGGAACUCCACGAAUGCCCCAGACUUCCGUAAAAAUCACCUCUGCUUUUAUUUCA